GCAAUGGUUGUUCAGUGGUAGAACUCUUGCCUUCCAUGUGGGAGAUCCGGAUUCAAUUCCCAGCCAAUGCA
rnacentral:tRNA from 1 species